rnacentral:rRNA from 1 species
UACAGAGGGUGCGAGCGUUAAUCGGAAUUACUGGGCGUAAAGCGUGCGUAGGCGGUUAUCUAAGUCGGAUGUGAAAGCCCCGGGCUCAACCUGGGAAUUGCAUUCGAGACUGAAUAGCUAGGGUGCGGUAGAGGGAAGUGGAAUUUCCGGUGUAGCGGUGAAAUGCGUAGAUAUCGGAAGGAACAUCAGUGGCGAAAGCGGCUUCCUGGACCAGCACCGACGUUCAGGCACGAAAGCGUGGGGAGCAAACAGG